rnacentral:misc_RNA from 1 species
UGAGAUUGAUCCAAGAUUUGAUGAUGCGGGUCCAAGUGAUGAUGGAACAUAUCUUCUUCUUCAACUUUGCUAGGAUUCAUAGCUUUCUGCAAAAUGGGUAUCUAAAAAAAGCGUUCCUUUUUCUGGUCUCUCAGAGUAAUCGAAGUGGCAGGGAGACGAUUUGCUGACACAAGUAAGUUCCCUCACAUUCUUGAUUUUUCCGCUCACUGCUUUCUUCUGUUGAAAUACCGAUUCAGUGGUAGUGCGAAAUAGAAAAGAACA